CCUACGGGAGGCUGCAGUGGGGAAUCUUGCGCAAUGGGGGAAACCCUGACGCAGCAACGCCGCGUGGGUGAUGAAGGUCUUCGGAUCGUAAAGCCCUGUCGAAGGGGAAGCGGUACCCUUAAAGGAAGCACCGGCUAACUCUGUGCCAGCAGCCGCGGUAAUACAGAGGGUGCAAGCGUUGUUCGGAAUUAUUGGGCGUAAAGGGAGUGUAGGCGGUUAUCUAAGUCUUCUGUGAAAUCUACGGGCUUAGCCUGUAACGUGCAGAGGAAACUGGGUGACUAGAGUGUCGGAGAGGAUAGGGGAAUACCCAGUGUAGAGGUGAAAUUCGUAGAGAUUGGGUGGAACACCAGUGGCGAAGGCGCCUGUCUGGCUACACUGACGCUGAGACUCGAAAGCAUGGGGAGCAAACAGGAUUAGAUACCCUUGUAGUC
rnacentral:rRNA from 1 species